rnacentral:rRNA from 1 species
UACAGAGGGUGCGAGCGUUAAUCGGAAUUACUGGGCGUAAAGCGUGCGUAGACGGCUAUCUAAGUCGGGUGUGAAAAUCCCCGGGCUCAACCUGGGAACUGCAUCCAAAAACUGGCAAGCUAGAGUAUGGUAGAGGGUGGUGGAAUUUCCUGUGUAGCGGUGAAAAUGCGUAGAUAUAGGAAGGAACACCAGUGGCGAAGGCGACCACCUGGACUGAUACUACAUGAGGUGCGAAAAGCGUGGGGAGCAA